AAUAAAGUGCCUGAUAAAAGGAUUAUCUUGAUAGGAUAAAUUAUAUACAACUAGUAUUUUUAUUA
rnacentral:tRNA from 1 species